CCAUUGAUCUCUCCACUUUUCAUAUCAUUUAAUGUAAAGUGAGCGCUCAAUGAGU
rnacentral:pre_miRNA from 1 species